GCGUCAGUAGUGCGAUGGCUCAGAGCGCGCUCCCGGAUAGAGUGAGAUGCGGGUUCGAGUCCCGCCUGGCGUA